rnacentral:rRNA from 1 species
UGGAAGCGUCUGGAAAGGCGCGCGAUACAGGGUGACAGCCCCGUACACAAAAAUGCACAUGCUGUGAGCUCGAUGAGUAGGGCGGGACACGUGGUAUCCUGUCUGAAUAUGGGGGGACCAUCCUCCAAGGCUAAAUACUCCUGACUGACCGAUAGUGAACCAGUACCGUGAGGGAAAGGCGAAAAGAACCCCGGCGAGGGGAGUGAAAAAGAACCUGAAACCGUGUACGUACAAGCAGUGGGAGCACAGAGCAAUCUGUGUGACUGCGUACCUUUUGUAUAAUGGGUCAGCGACUUAUAUUCUGUAGCAAGGUUAACCGAAUAGGGGAGCCGAAGGGAAACCGAGUCUUAACCGGGCGUUAAGUUGCAGGGUAUAGACCCGAAACCCGGUGAUCUAGCCAUGGGCAGGUUGAAGGUUGGGUAACACUAACUGGAGGACCGAACCGACUAAUGUUGAAAAAUUAGCGGAUGACUUGUGGCUGGGGGUGAAAGGCCAAUCAAACCGGGAGAUAGCUGGUUCUCCCCGAAAGCUAUUUAGGUAGCGCCUCGUGAAUUCAUCUCCGGGGGUAGAGCACUGUUUCGGCAAGGGGGUCAUCCCGACUUACCAACCCGAUGCAAACUGCGAAUACCGGAGAAUGUUAUCACGGGAGACACACGGCGGGUGCUAACGUCCGUCGUGAAGAGGGAAACAACCCAGACCGCCAGCUAAGGUCCCAAAGUCAUGGUUAAGUGGGAAACGAUGUGGGAAGGCCCAGACAGCCAGGAUGUUGGCUUAGAAGCAGCCAUCAUUUAAAGAAAGCGUAAUAGCUCACUGGUCGAGUCGGCCUGCGCGGAAGAUGUAACGGGGCUAAACCAUGCACCGAAGCUGCGGCAGCGACACUGUGUGUUGUUGGGUAGGGGAGCGU